UGCAGUGCUUGUGACAUGAAUCACA
rnacentral:piRNA from 1 species